ACAUACGACCAUAGAAGACUGAGAACUGGGCAUCCCGUCCGCUCUGCCAUACACAAGCAGUCUAUCGGUGGAUUAGUAGUUGGGUGGGUGACCACCAGCGAAUACCCACUGUUGUAUGUC
rfam:Phialocephala subalpina strain TAMH 11012 genome assembly, contig: PAC_scaffold_001